rnacentral:sRNA from 1 species
UUCGACUCGAGCGAAGCGAGAGAACGUUGCGUCAGCAACGGCCCGCAGGGCGAGCCACGAAGUGGUGAGUCAUCCUCUAUCACCGACCA